GAAUUCGCCCUUAGAGUUUGAUCCUGGCUCAGGAUGAACGCUGGCGGCGUGCCUAAUACAUGCAAGUCGAUCGAAACUUCUUCAUCACCGAGUGCUUGCACUCACCGAUGAAGAGUUGAGUGGCGAACGGGUGAGUAACACGUGGGCAACCUGCCCAAAAGAGGGGGAUAACACUUGGAAACAGGUGCUAAUACCGCAUAACCAUGGUUACCGCAUGGUAACUAUGUAAAAGGUGGCUAUGCUACCGCUUUUGGAUGGGCCCGCGGCGCAUUAGCUAGUUGGUGAGGUAACGGCCCACCAAGGCGACGAUCAGCAGCCGGACUGAGAGGUUGGCCGGCCACAUUGGGACUGAGAUACGGCCCAGACUCCUACGGGUGGCAGCAGUGGGGAAUAUUGGGCAAUGGACGCAAGUCUGACCCAGCAACGCCGCGUGAAGGAAGAAGGCUUUCGGGUUGUAAACUUCUUUUAAGGGGGAAGAGCAGAAGACGGUACCCCUUGAAUAAGCCACGGCUAACUACGUGCCAGCAGCCGCGGUAAUACGUAGGUGGCAAGCGUUGUCCGGAUUUACUGGGUGUAAAGGGCGUGCAGCCGGAGAGACAAGUCAGAUGUGAAAUCCACGGGCUCAACCCGUGAACUGCAUUUGAAACUGUUUCCCUUGAGUGUCGGAGAGGUAAUCGGAAUUCCUUGUGUAGCGGUGAAAUGCGUAGAUAUAAGGAAGAACACCAGUGGCGAAGGCGGAUUACUGGACGAUAACUGACGGUGAGGCGCGAAAGCGUGGGGAGCAAACAGGAUUAGAUACCCUGGUAGUCCACGCUGUAAACGAUCGAUACUAGGUGUGCGGGGGAUUGACGCCGGUGCGUGCCGGAGUCACCACAAUAAGAAUUGCACCUGGGGGGUACGAUUGCAAGGUUGAAACUCGAAAGAUAUGACGGGGGCCUGCACAAUCGGUGGAUUAUGUGGUUUAAUUCGAAGCAACCCGAUGAACCUUACCGGGGCUUGACAUCCUGCUGGGGGGAGUAGAAAAACAUUAGGUGCCUUUCGGGGAACGCAGAGACAGGUGGUGCAUGGUUGUCGUCAGCUCGUGUCGUGAGAUGUUGGGUUAAGUCCCGCGACGAGCGCAACCCCUAUUGUUAGUUGCUACGCAAGAGCACUCUAGCGAGACUGCCGUUGACAAAACGGAGGCCCCCUCGGCCGACGUCAAAUCAUCAUGCCCCUUAUGUCCUGGGCUACACACGUAAUACAAUGGCGGUUAACAAAGGGAUGCAAAGCCGCGAGGCAGAGCGAACCCCAAAAAGCCGUCCCAGUUCGGAUAGCAGGCUGCAACCCGCCUGCGUGAAGUCGGAAUCGCUAGUAAUCGCGGAUCAGCAUGCCGCG
rnacentral:rRNA from 1 species